rnacentral:lncRNA from 1 species
UUAAGAAUAUAUCACUCUCACCUACCAAAUCAUAAACAUUUUUUAACUUGCAAAUGGCAGGUAUAAGUAGUAUUUUCUCAUUCUCAUCCAUGAGAGGAUCUUCUUCUUCUUCUUCCAAGCUUCGACCAUGGCGAAAAUGUUCGAAGCACAUUCGGCAGCAAAAGACACGGCUUUACAUUAUUUGGAGAUGCACUGUCUUACUCUUGUGCUGGCAUGAGUAAACAAGCAAUGUAUGUGUCAUGUUCUUGGCGCCACUGCAUAUAUAUAGUUAGUCAUGUGUUGAUUAACCUUACCUUAAUUACCAAAUUAGACUCAAUAAAAUAAAUUUACAAAUAGAUGGCUUCUUUUGUUCUUGUGAUGGAGUUAGAUGAAGCAGGGGGAACCCUUUUGAAUGUGUAAAUUACAAACUAUAUUUUAGUAUCAUGUUUAAGAUACCUAAUCUAAACUAAGUUUAUCAAUCGAUGCUCAGCCUCAUGCCUCAGUUUGAUUCAUUAUUAUACCGAUGUGGACAAUCUUUUUUGUAAAGUUCACUCGUUUCUUCUUUUACUUCUAUGAUAAAUAAAUUGAAGUAAAUGUAACUUCUAGAGAUUAAUUAUUGUGAUCAUGGGAAACUUUUGUUGCCU